CCUCGAUACAUUGUCUAAAGACGUUUUCACACAUAGACAGAUCGUCCGUCAAGACUAACUACGCAGCAGUAGACGAACUACAGAUUAUCCAUCUGUUUUCCUCCCUUAUAAACAGACAUUCAAUCAAACGAACUAUAUUUUCUUUGCCCAAGUUUGUCCAAACAGAUCAUCCGUCGUCCCUUAGACUACGUUCACACUACACUGGCGCCAAAUAAUGCAGGAAGAAUUUAUGUGUAGUCACAUGCACCACACCGUUACAGUUUGUUUACAAAUUAAAUUAGCACUCAUGUAAACACAAAAUAUUUCAAAUAGAGCAAAGAAAUUUAAACGAAAAGCAUUCGAAUUGAUUGUUUUGAGACCUGAGAUGCUUGGUUCGCAAGCGGUAGGCCUACAAAAAAGUAACGGCGUUUGUGUUCACACAAAGCCGCCAAGCGCUCAUUUUUCAUCUCUCUCCGUUUAGAAACCGUGCUCUGGCAAAUUGUUACGGCAAAAGUGAUGUUUUCAUGCAAACAAUUUCGCUCCGGCGUAGUGUGAACGAGAAUGGCUAAUUGUGACUUUUCUGCGCCGUUUUCAAACCACUCCGGCGUUGUAUGAUACGACUGCAAUGGAAACGCGCUUGAGUAUACCAAACUGAUGUAUCCUGAUCUCCCUACAAAUGUUACCGCUGAAUAUAUAUAACUGCACCAUUUUUCUGAAAAUAUUUUAAAUUUACUAUAUAAUCCGUUUCUAAUUGAAAAUUUAUCAUUUCAGCUAGAAACUACUUCUAGCAGGGUAAUCAGUUCUACUAUACAAAAAUCAUUUUUUCAUCGUGCAUGCUAACGUUCGCUCGCGUAAAAACUGUUCAUUUAAUGAGCUGUGUCUGGACGCUUUUGGACCCAUUCUUUAAUUCCAGGAUUGUUUGCAACUCUAUCAUAGAGAUCCUUCAAUAACGGGAAGGCAUCUAAUGCAGAUGGAACACCCUUUUUGGCGUCAUCAGCAUAGAAACAUGCUUCAACACUGCCAUAGAACAGAAUAUCGGCGUACGUCAGCU